rnacentral:tRNA from 1 species
UGGCUCAGAGGUUAAAGUGUCUGCCUGCAAUGCGGGAGACCCAGGUUCAAUUCCUGG